CCAUAAUUGAACCAAGAAGUUUAUGAAGAAGGGAUCACUGGAUUUUGUCACUUUGGUACAAGAAACAGAAAAGGAUAUCAUAGACCACCUUACUUGUACGGAAGCAUAGGAGCUGUUGAAGGAAAUUGCUGCCAGACAGUCAGCAGUUAUCACUGACAGCCUGUCCUGGUCCAGCUUGGACCAUCCUCAAGCUAACCAUGAUGGUGUGUUUGCAAGAAUUGUCCAUUUGGUAGACCAUGAUGAAGACCAGCUUUGUUGUGGCAUGGCCUGACAAUACUGUACAAGCCACAGACCAAAAAAGGGUUAAGUGGUGACUGAUCCUCUCACCCUCCUUAUCCAGGAAACGUUUUCGGAACAACGUGUUGGCACUGAAGAUGUGGAGGACACAGAUUGAUCACAGUACAUCCUUUGGAUACAUGGACACCUUCAACGGGACGACAACAAAACUGUACCUGCCUUUUUUUUGAAAGGAAGUAGUUAAUAAAAUUAUUGUUAACAGCUUUUUUAGUCUUGUUGUUUAAGAAUGCUUGCAACAUUUAAGUGGAUAAACGGUUGUUUUAAAUUUGAAUCUUCAGUAAUGCAUUCUUUAUUAAAUGAUGUAAUCUUAUUUCUUUCAAUAUAGUGUAAAUAAUAAGAACAUUAUUAUUCUUUGUAUACAAAAUGAAAACCAAGUUUACUGUUCUAUUAAUCAUUAUUUAUUUAUCUUGUUCUUUUGUCAGAAAUAUUACAGGGGCAUACAUACAGUAUUCCUUAAAUAAAAGGGGCAGUUCUUAGAAAAUUAACAUGUAUUUUAGCAAUGCAUAUUCAAACUUUGUCCACAUUUAUAACCAGCAACAAUAUGUAAGUAGUAUAAUGUAACACAAAUUAAUACUAUGGAUUUACUACUGAUUUUGUCGUGCCUGUCAUCAAAUAAACAUGUUUUACUGAAAGUUUCUUAAAAGAUGUUAUGUGGAAGACUUAAUCAAUCAUUUAAUAAAUAUUUGAGCCUCGCUCUGGGAAAAGGGGGUUUAAUGCAUGUACUUAAGGUUGUCCAAGAUUAGGCUGUGCAGACUGCACAGGCUAAUCAGGGGCAACACUUUCCGCC